rnacentral:rRNA from 1 species
GAUGAACGCUGGCGGCGUGCCUAAUACAUGCAAGUCGAGCGAACGGACGAGACGCUUGCUUCUCUGAUGUUAGCGGCGGACGGGUGAGUAACACGUGGAUAACCUACCUAUAAGACUUGGAUAACUUCGGGAAACCGUAGCUAAUACCGGAUAAUAUUUUCAACCGCAUGGUUCAAAAGUGAAAGAUGGUCUUGCUGUCACUUAUCGAUGGAUCCGCUCUGCAUUAGCUAGUUGGUAAGGUAACGGCUUACCAAGGCAACGAUGCAUAGCCGAACUGAGAGGGUGAUCGGCCACACUGGAGCGGAGACGCGGUCCAGACUCCUACGAGAGGCAGCAGUAGGGAAUCGUCCGCAAUGGGCGAAAGCCUGACGGAGCAACGGCGCGUGAGUGAUGAAGGUCUUCGGAGCGUAAAACUCUGUUAUUAGGGAAGAACAUAUGUGUAAGUAAAUGUGCACAUCUUGACGGUACCUAAUCAGAAAGCCACGGCUAACUACGUG